rnacentral:rRNA from 1 species
AAAGACUUGACGGUACUUCACAACAACCUAGAGGAGCCUGUCCAAUAACCGAUACUCCACGAUUAACCCCACCCACCCUAGCCUAAAACAGUCUAUAUACCGCCGUCGCCAGCUUACCUUGUGAAAGAAAUAAAGUAAGCAAAUUAAGCCACCCCCUAACACGACAGGUCGAGGUGUAGCUCAUGGGCGGGUAAAAGAUGGGCUACACUUUCUAUCACAGAAAACACGGACAAACUAUGAAAUUAAAAACUGAAGGCGGAUUUAGCAGUACGUUAAGAACAAAAUACUUAACCGAAACCAACGCAAUGAAGUGUGUACACACCGCCCGUCAUCCCUG